UACGGGGGGAGCAAGCGUUGUUCGGAUUUACUGGGCGUAAAGGGCGCGUAGGCGGCCACCGCAAGUCAGUUGUGAAAUCUCUGGGCUUAACCCAGAAAGGUCAACUGAUACUGCGGGGCUAGAGUGCAGAAGGGCAACUGGAAUUCUCGGUGUAGCGGUGAAAUGCGUAGAUAUCAGGAGGAACACCGGUGGCGAAGGCGGGGUCUCUGGGGCAACAACUGACGCUGAGGAGCGAAAAGCGUGGGGAGCGAACAGG
rnacentral:rRNA from 1 species